rnacentral:rRNA from 1 species
CCCUUAGAUGUUCUGGGCCGCACGCGUGCUACACUGAGUGGAUCAGCGGGUCAGGUUGCGCGAAAGCGUUUCCUAAUCUUUAAAUCCGCUCGUGAUGGGGAUUGACGGUUGCAAUUUUCUGUCAUGAACGAGGAAUACCUUGUAAGCGCGGGUCAUCAUCCCGCGCUGAAUACGUCCCUGCCCUUUGUACACACCGCCCGUCGCUACUACCGAUUGAAUGGCUUAGUGAGGCCUCCGGAUUGGCUUUGGGGAGCCGGCAACGGCACCUCAUGGCUGAGAAGUUGGUCAAACUUGGUCAUUUAGAGGAAGUAAAAGUCGUAACA